UACUAGCACCCCGAGUGGUCGGGACGAUUAUUGGGCCUAAAGCAUCCGUAGCCGGUUCUGCAAGUCCCCCGUUAAAUCCAGCUGCUCAACAGAUGGGCCGCGGAGGAUACUACAGAGCUAGGAGGCAGGAGAGGCAAGCGGUACUCAGUGGGUAGGGGUAAAAUCCGUUGAUCCAUUGAAGACCACCAGUGGCGAAGGCGGCUUGCCAGAACGCACUCGACGGUGAGGGAUGAAAGCUGGGGGAGCAAACCGG
rnacentral:rRNA from 1 species